AUACGGAGGGUGCAAGCGUUAAUCGGAAUUACUGGGCGUAAAGCGCGCGUAGGCGGUUUGAUAAGUCGGAUGUGAAAUCCCCGGGUUCAACCUGGGAAUUGCAUUCGAUACUGUCAGGCUAGAGUGUGGUAGAGGGAAGUGGAAUUUCCGGUGUAGCGGUGAAAUGCGUAGAUAUCGGAAGGAACACCAGUGGCGAAGGCGGCUUCCUGGACCAACACUGACGCUGAGGUGCGAAAGCGUGGGGAGCAAACAGGAUUAGAAACCCUAGUAGUCC
rnacentral:rRNA from 1 species